GGUAAGUGAGGCAGGGGAGAGAGAGCCUAUAGAUCAGGUAAGUGAGGCAUGGGGGGGAGAGCCUCACUUACCUGAUCUAUAGGCUCUCUCUUCCCCCCAUGCCUCACUUACCUGAUCUAUAGGCUCUCCCCCCCAUGCCUCACUUACCU